rnacentral:rRNA from 1 species
GAGUUUGAUCUUGGCUCAGAUUGAACGCUGGCGGCAUGCCUUACACAUGCAAGUCGAACGGCAGCACGGGAGCUUGCUCCUGGUGGCGAGUGGCGAACGGGUGAGUAAUGCAUCGGAACGUAUCCUGGAGUGGGGGAUAACGUAGCGAAAGUUACGCUAAUACCGCAUAUUCUGUGAGCAGGAAAGCGGGGGACCUUCGGGCCUCGCGCUCUCGGAGCGGCCGAUGUCGGAUUAGCUAGUUGGUGAGGUAAAGGCUCACCAAGGCGACGAUCCGUAGCAGGUCUGAGAGGAUGAUCUGCCACACUGGAACUGAGACACGGUCCAGACUCCUACGGGAGGCAGCAGUGGGGAAUUUUGGACAAUGGGGGCAACCCUGAUCCAGCCAUGCCGCGUGAGUGAAGAAGGCCUCGG